GGGUCAGUAGGUUGGUCGUGCCACCGGUACGUACUGGUCUCACUGAUUCCUCCUUCCUGAAGAACCGUAAUGCCAUUAAUUUGGUGUUGCGGGGAAACAGGACUGUUACUUUGAAAAAAUUAGAGUGUUUAAAGCAAGCUAACGCUUGAAUACAUUAGCAUGGAAUAAUGAAAUAGGACGAUCGAUCCUAUUUUGUUGGUUCCUAGGAUUGACGUA
rnacentral:rRNA from 1 species